AACACUUGUGUGUGUUUGCUCAACUGGUGGACAAAGAUAAGGUGAGCACAGGUGCGAAGAUAAGUCUUCCACAACCCAGAACUCAUUACUCAGUAGAAGGUUUGAUACAUAGAAUAAGGAAUAUC